rnacentral:rRNA from 1 species
GAUGAACGCUGGCGGCGUGCCUAAUACAUGCAAGUCGAGCGAACGGACGAGAAGCUUGCUUCUCUGAUGUUAGCGGCGGACGGGUGAGUAACACGUGGAUAACCUACCUAUAAGACUGGGAUAACUUCGGGAAACCGGAGCUAAUACCGGAUAAUAUUUUGAACCGCAUGGUUCAAAAGUGAAAGACGGUCUUGCUGUCACUUAUAGAUGGAUCCGCGCUGCAUUAGCUAGUUGGUAAGGUAACGGCUUACCAAGGCAACGAUGCAUAGCCGACGUGAGAGGGUGAUGGGCCACAGUGGAACUGAGACACGGUCCAGACUCCUACGGGAGGCAGAAGUAGGGAAUCUUCGGCAAAGGGCGAAAGCCUGACGGAGCAACGCCGCGUGAGUGAUGAAGGUCUUCGGAUCGUAAAACUCUGUUAUUAGGGAAGAACAUAUGUGUAAGUAACUGUGCACAUCUUGACGGUACCUAAUCAGAAAGCCACGGCUAACUACGUG